rnacentral:rRNA from 1 species
UACGUAGGGGCUAGCGUUGUCCGGAAUCAUUGGGCGUAAAGCGCGCGUAGGCGGCCAGAUUAGUCCGGUGUGAAAGUCAGAGGCUCAACCUUUGAAUGCCGCUGGAAACUGUCUGGCUUGAGUCCGGAAGGGGCGAGUGGAAUUCCUGGUGUAGCGGUGAAAUGCGCAGAUAUCAGGAGGAACACCAUGGCGAAGGCAGCUCGCUGGAACGGUACUGACGCUGGAGGCGACGGAAAGCGUGGGGGAGCAAACAGG